rnacentral:rRNA from 1 species
GUGCCAGCAGCCGCGGUAAUACGUAGGUUCCGAGCGUUGUCCGGAUUUAUUGGGCGUAAAGCGAGCGCAGGCGGUUAGAUAAGUCUGAAGUUAAAGGCUGUGGCUUAACCAUAGUACGCUUUGGAAACUGUUUAACUUGAGUGCAAGAGGGGAGAGUGGAAUUCCAUGUGUAGCGGUGAAAUGCGUAGAUAUAUGGAGGAACACCGGUGGCGAAGGCGACUUUCUGGUCUGUAACUGACGCUGAUGUGCGAAAGCGUGGGGAUCAAACAGGAUUAGAUACCCUGGUAGUCAACGGCGAAUUCGC